rnacentral:rRNA from 1 species
UCGACGGGAAUGCCACGCUGAUGCGAUUUCGGUCAAAUCAUGUGGCAUUCGAGUGGCGGACGGGUGAGUAACGCGUGGGUAACCUGCCUUACACAGGGGGAUAACACCUGGAAACAGGUGCUAAUACCGCAUAAGCGCACAGGGCCGCAUGGCCCGGUGUGAAAAACUCCGGUGGUGUAAGAUGGACCCGCGUCUGAUUAGCUUGUUGGCGGGGUAGGGGCCCACCAAGGCGACGAUCAGUAGCCGGCCUGAGAGGGUGGACGGCCACAUUGGGACUGAGACACGGCCCAAACUCCUACGGGAGGCAGCAGUGGGGGAUAUUGGACAAUGGGGGAAACCCUGAUCCAGCGACGCCGCGUGAGUGAAGAAGUAUUUCGGUAUGUAAAGCUCUGUCAGCAGGGAAGAAAGAAAUGACGGUACCUGACCAAGAAGCCCCGGCUAACUACGUGCCAGCAGCCGCGGUAAUACGUAGGGGGCAAGCGUUAUCCGGAAUUACUGGGUGUAAAGGGAGCGUAGACGGUGAUGCAAGUCUGGAGUGAAAGGCGGGGGCCCAACCCCCGGACUGCUCUGGAAACUGUGUAACUUGAGUGCAGGAGAGGUAAGCGGAAUUCCUAGUGUAGCGGUGAAAUGCGUAGAUAUUAGGAGGAGCACCAGUGGCGAAGGCGGCUUACUGGACUGUAACUGACGUUGAGGCUCGAAAGCGUGGGGAGCAAACAGGAUUAGAUACCCUGGUAGUCCACGCCGUAAACGAUGAUUACUAGGUGUCGGUGGGUAUGGACCCAUCGGUGCCGCA